rnacentral:rRNA from 1 species
GACGAACGCUGGCGGCGCGCUUAACACAUGCAAGUCGAGCGAAACGGCGGACGGGUUAGUAACACGUGCGUAACCUGCCUUAGACAUUGGGAUUGCCUCGGGAAACCGGGUUUAAUACCAAAUGGUCUAAGAUGGACUCGCGUCCCAUUAGCUGGUUGAUGAGGUAACGGCCCACCACGGCGACGAUGGGUAGCCGGGCUGAGAAGGGGAACGGCAACAUUGGAACUGAGAAACGGGCCAAACUCCUACGGGGGGCAGCAGGGGGGAAGAUGGCAAAAGGGAGGGAACUCUGAUGCAGCGACGCUGCGUGAACGAAGAAGGCUUUCGAGUUGUAAACGUCUGUCGCUAUCGAAGGGGUAGGUGGAGAAGAAGCGCCGGCUAACUACGUGCCAGCAGCCGCGGUAAUAC